GGGCCCGCACAAGCGGUGGAGCAUGUGGUUUAAUUCGAUGCAACGCGAAGAACCUUACCAGGGUUUGCAUGCCACUAUUUAACUAGGUACUUGUGAAAGCAGGUUUUGGUGCACAAGUGGUGCAUGGCUGUCGUCAGCUCGUGUCGUGAGAUGUUGGGUUAAGUCCCGCAACGAGCGCAACCCUUAUAUCUUGUUGUGAUUCCAGAUCAAGAAAAACUGCCGGUGACAAACCGGAGGAAGGUGAGGAUGACGUCAAGUCAACAUGCCCUUUAUACUCUGGGCGACACACGUGCUACAAUGGUUAGGACAAAUCGUUACUACUUUAGAAAAAAGACGUAAAUCGUUAAACCUGACCUCAGUUCGAAUUCAUCUCUGCAACUCGAGAUGAUGAAGUCGGAAUCGCUAGUAAUCGU
rnacentral:rRNA from 1 species